AGUAUGAAGAAGAGAGGCAGUGGUUCAAAAAAAAAAAUGAAGCUGAAAGCGGGCAGCCUGGUGUGUGUGCAUUGUCUGAGGCUCAGGAACAGAGGAGCAACUAAAAUAAACCUGAAAAGCUCUCACUAGACUUCUGAUCUUGCCUGCUACAGUGCAUGAAUUUCCAUAUCCCUUGCAGCUUUAAUCUGGAGCCUUUAGAAGACAAGUUUGCUUUCCAACUGGGACUCAAAAUGACUAGAGAUUCUAAGCAAAGUAGCAUGUCUCUAGCUGCUUGGGAGAACUGCAUCCUCCCAGUUCCCUGGGUGCAGGUCCCUAUAAACCAUGAGGAAACUGGUGUUCAAUGCAAGCGAUUGCCCAGCUGCCUAUCGAAACCUGCACAAGAUUCAGGAUCUGUGUGAGUACGUCAACUUUACCUGCCUUACUCUUCAAAUUGUGGAACCUCUGUGAAGCGCAGUGGAUGGCAUCACUUCUGUAGGACUCAGGUUAUCAGGGAACCAAUUCAGAUGGCCCGGGUGUCCAAGGUUCUUGCAUGUUCAUUUGAUUUUUAGGAGACUGUGAUGGGCUAUACCUGGUCCCUUGUGGCCCUCUGCUGGAGGACCUGUGGUCCUGCUACACUCCACCCCAGGAAAGAGCCGCAGAGGUGGGUCCUCUAGGCCCGCCUAAAAAGGCUGCAUGGAAGCAACCAGUCAGUGCCCAGCAGGCUCAGAAAAAAGGAUCUGCAAGGGCUUGAGGUCAGUUCCCAGCUGGGGCCGGAGAGGUGCGGGGGAUACUCCUCUCUGGCCUAACAAGCUCAGCAGGCUGCAUUUACUGGCCCAGUGGGGGGAGAGGACCUGAGAAUUUUAACCCUAAAGUAAUGGGUAAAGGUAAAGGGAACAGGUGGGAAGAGGCCCGGGAAUGGAACAGUAACUAAUUAAAAAAAGCAGUGCUGAGACUGGGCCCCAGAGUAGUGGGCAGAUCCUGGUUCCCCCACUGGUGAAGUGGCCUAAGCCCUGACAUUGCACCCAUAUGUUUUAUGAAAAUAUUCUAAUGAGUGUGAAUAUGAUGUAACUGGAAUAUGCUUCAUACAAAAGGUCUCUUGUAAGGUAUCAUUACAAAGCUUAUGAUCUACUGAGUGUGCUUAUCCUAUUUGUUUGCAUGUAUUAUUGUUAUGUCUGGAGUUGGGAGAAUAAGAUAUAAACUUGUAUUAUUGAUGUAGAUAUGUUAAGUGGAAGCCAUUAAGGGUGCUUCAAAAUCAACGAACUGUGAAUGAGCUUGUUUACCUGUAAGCCUUGCUAUGUGCCUGUCUUCCAGCUAGUAGGUAAUGAAGAAGGAGGUCUUACAGUGACAUGUGAUCAUGUCACCUGAACUGGAAUCCAUCUUAAACCUGGUGCUUUUCUAUUUAGAAGGAGUGGGGACCCAGAUAGACUAAAGAUUUCCACCUUUUGCCAAAGCUAUAAAAGGGGGUGGAACAGAACAAAGGGGGCCACCAGUCAUGAGAAAACGCCUAGUUACCACCCAAGCUGGAACUAACAAGGGCUGUACCAGGGAAAGGCUUGAGCCCAGACUAAGGGCUGGUCCACACUAACCCCUCACUUUGAACUAAGAUAUGCAACUUCAGCUACGUUAUUCAUGUAGCUGAAGUCGAACUAUCUUAGUUCGAACUUACCGCGGGUCCACAUGCGGCAGGCAGGCUCCCCCAUCGACUCCGCGUACUCCUCUUGCGGAGCAGGAGUACCGGCGUUGACGGUGAACACUUCCGGGAUCAAUCCGGGAUCAAUUUAUCGCGUCUAGACAAGACACAAUAAAUCGAUCCCAGAAGAUCGAUUGCUACCGCCGGACCUGGAGGUAAGUAUAGACAGACCCUAAGAAGGAGUCUAGUGAAAGAAGCUUACUGGAACAUCUCUGAGGGUGAGAUUUACCUCUAUUCAGUUUCUUAAAUGUAUUAGGCUUAGACUUGCGUGUUCUGUUUUAUUUUGCUUAGUAACUUACUUUGUUCUGUAUGUUACUACUUGAAACCACUUAAAUCCUACUUUUUAUACUUUAUUAUUGAACCCAGAGUAAGUGAUUAAUACCUGGGGGAGCAAACAGCUGUGCAUAUCUCUCUAUCAGUGUUAUAGAGGGAGGACCAUUUAUGAGUUUACCCUGUAUAAGCUUUAUACAGAGUAAACUGGAUUUAUUUGGAAUUUGGAUCCCAUUGGGAGCUGAGUGUCUGGGUGCUGGAGACAGGAGUACUUGCUGAGCUGUUUUCAGUUAAGUCUGCAGUUUUGGGGACGUGGUUCAGACCCUGGGUCUGUGUUGCACCAGGCUAGCAUGUCUGGCUCAACAAGACAGGGUUCUGGAGUCCCAAGCCAUCAGAGAAAACGGGCUCAGAAGUAGUUUCAGCACAUCAAGUGACAGUCCCAAGGUGGUCUCUGUGACCGAACCAGUCACAGGGGCAAGGAUCCUUUAGAAGCCCAAGUGAAGGGCUGGAUUUAAAAGAGCCCAGAGACAGGGCUGAAGACCCUGUUGAGAGAAGACAGUUUGGUGAACUCUUUGCUGUCCCUGAAGGGGAUCAUUUUUGACUGUGUGACUUGGUCGGAGAGCUGAGCUGUUUAAGACAUGUCUUGCAAGGUUAGCAAACUUCCAGGAGCUGGGAAAAGGUUACAGUACCACACUCAACCCCUAGAAGGCACUUAACAGUUGAGUGCCCCAUCACAAGGGCAAAUCUACCUUUUCUGCAUGAGGGUGGGUGUUGCACUCCAUCCCAGCCCCUGCUUCCAAUGUAAGACUCAGAGGGAAAACUCCACUAGCAAACCUUGUGGAAUUUCUUCUCUCUUACACUAGCAGCUUGCAAGCACCACUUCCACUGUUGUUAACACUGGUACUACUCCAUCAGUGUUAACAUGGAUGGAACCCCUAGUUUAAAGAUGGGCUGCUGGCUGGCACCUGCAUCUGAGGUUCUGUGUUGAUUAGUCCUGUUCUGGGCAGGGUUAGAUGACGAUGUGCUUUGUAUGCUGAGGGAGGUGGUACUCUCUCUUCUCUCCAUCUCUCAUCCCUCUUCCAAGCCAGCCCUACAUGGAUCAAUGAUAGAUAGAAAUUAUACUAUCUUCUUGUUGUAUUCUUAGAAUGUUGAAUAAUUUGGUGUAAUCAAAGACAACAGAGAAGAAAAAGGUACACUUUUAAAAAACAGUGCUAAGAAUUAAGAGCUAGAUAUGCCACUAGUUUAAAAUGGCAUGUCUUUAUUGAACUUGAAACAUCCAACAACUCCCUGUGCACUAUGUGAAAAUGCUCCCAUUAUACAAUGUGUCAAAUGCGAACAGCACCAAUAUGUGAUGUAUAACUAACACUAUGGCAUGUGUAUAACAUUCACAGGAAACCAGUUCUUCAUAUAUGGGGAAAAUAACUCUUCCUCCUGCAGACCUUGCUGGACCAAGCAGUUGGAGGAUAAGCUGCCAUCUAAUGCCUCCUAAAGAUUCUUCAAGAGGAGCAGAGAGGACCACUCUACUCUUGGAAGAACUAGGAGAGGAAAAGCCACCUGUCUCAUAAGCUCAUCUAUUGUAAGAUAGCUUUCCUUCCCUAUAGGAAUCCCCGUGUAAUGGUGCCUCAAUCUCCUGGUCGGAGGGAGGCCACUCAGGCCCAUCCUGUCGGGUCGGGGCCGGAGUCUGUCCGACCGGCAAGAGCCUCCCAAUAGGGCUGUGCGAUUAACAGUCCCUACCAGGCUUUAGCCUGGGCUUAAGUAGCUCCAGUAGGCAGCCCUGAAACACAGUCUAUCAGGGCUGACUUUGGCCUGGGCGGGGCUCAGGCAGCCAGCAAACAAACAGUCUUUAAAGGUAAGUGAUAAGGGAGCUCCUGUCCUGGGCUAGAGCCUCCUUGCACCGUGUAGGGGGUCAGCCACCAAGGGUGGGGUGUCAGGGGGAUGUGGGCCAACCCUACUCCACCGCAUCCCAGCCCAGGGCCCUGGCAGGGGCAGGAUUGGCUGCCCCUAUGUUGGCGGGGAUCCAGCCACAACACGCCGACUGAGCCACGCCGGGCUCUGCAGCCGGCUGCUCUGUGGCUGCCCCUGGGCUACUUCCUGCCUCCCCGGGGUUUGUUUCCUGCAACCUCCAGGCCUCUUCUGGCUCUUCAGGGUAAACCACAGCAGAUACUUUGGAUCAGUUGUCAUCCACGUCUGGGGAUCGGGAACAGCCAGGCUCAGGUUCCUGUCGAGGCCUCUGGAGAACCGGCCGAGCGUCCUUCUCCGGAGCAGGCUCUCGCCCAACUGAGCUGCAGGGCUGGCCUUUUAUACCUCCAGCCCCGUCCUGGUCCUUCCGGCGAGGGGGGCGGGGCGAUCUAGGCCCCACCCUCCAAGGAGCGUGUAAUAGUGCCUCAGUCUCCUGCUCGGAGGGAGGCCACUCAGCCUCACUACACCCACUAUGUGAAAACAUCAGCCCAAGUCCAAAAAAAUUGUUGAUUUAGGCUGAUAGAUGCAGGCUGUAAAACACAAAUGUGCGUGUACCAUAGGGGUGGAUUCUGGCUCUUUGCAAAAUCCUCUGCCCCCUAUUCACUUCUGUGAUGAAUUAAACCAGUGGCAAACGUUAAUUAUACCUCUCUGGCAGACUGGCAACCAAAGCACAGAUAUAGCUCCUUGGAUUUUAAGGCCAGAAAGGAUCACUGUGAUCCUAUAGUCUGUCUUCUUGCAUAAUACAGGACAUAGAAUUUCACUCAGUAAAUCUUCAAUCAAACACAAUAAUGUGAGAGAACUGAAGAAUAUAUUUUUUAAUCAGACAUGCAACUCUGAUUUAAAGAUUUCACAUGAUAGAGAAUUCAUCAAAUCUCUUGGUAAAGUUGUUCCAAUGAUAAAUUACUAAGAAUA